CGGCGCGAGCCGCUUCCGGGAAUCGGUGGGGCCACGCGAGACCGCGGGGGGGCGCCACACCCGGGGGGGCGGCUGGGGCCCGGGCGGGGGGGGGCCGGGGGAAGGCCGGGCCGGGCCGUGAGUCAGGGGCAGGAAUGCGCCGGGAAUUCCAGCUGGUCCCCCCCACCCCGGGAAAACCCGCCCGCGCCGGGAAAACCCCCUCGAGGCACCGGGAUGUGCACUGUGCCCCGGGGGGGCGUCACCGGCACCGCGGCCAUCCGCUGCCCCCCGGGCGAGCCAAAAAACCCCGCGAACAACCCAAAAACCGACCAAACAACAACAAAACGCCCCGAGCAGCCGUUGGGUUUGAGCGGUGCCAGCAGCACCGGUGUGCCCGCCCCCGCCGCUGGCUGCUGCGCCGCUAAUGAGCUGAUUAAUUACCCCCACAACCCUCUGCGCUACGGCGGGUCGUUAUCUGGCGCCUCUAAUUUGUCUCACAAAUCUCUGCUUAUUUCAGGAAGGUGAAAUUACAGGUGGAAUUGGAGCAAAGCCGCCGGUGGGUGCCCGGGGGUGGCGGUUGCGGGGUCCCUGUCCCCGGCCGGGGGAGGUGCUGAGAAAACUCUGGGCGUCUUCACUUGUUUCUCGGAGAAAUGGAGCUUUCCGGCCAGAAAGAACUGGGGAGGUCUUGCGAGUUCCCCAAAAUAAAGAUGCUGAACCCCCCCUUGGCAGAUGGAGGCUGGUGUUGAUGGUUCACCGCCUGGAGGGCGCAGCCUUCAGCCAGGUUCACAGCUCCGCGGGGGCUGCCGUACCCACAGGAUACAUCCCAGAGGUUGGAUUUUUUGCUGGUUAAUUGUGUUCUGGAAGAUCAACAAGGAGCACAACGUCUGCAAAACACCAGCUGGCUUUCAGGGAGUGUGGGUGCACAAGGCGGGUGAACCAGAAGAUACGGAGGCUCCAACCGACAUCUGAAAAUGCAGAUCAACAAGGCAAGAGUGGACACAGGAAAAGAAUCUGACAAGAUGUUACAAGACCCCAGACCAAAAAUCACCUUUGGACUAAAAGACAUGUGAACAG